UACGGAGGGUGCAAGCGUUAUCCGGAUUCACUGGGUUUAAAGGGUGCGUAGGCGGGCAGGUAAGUCAGAGGUGAAAUCUCCGGCUUAACCCGGAAACUGCCUUUGAUACUAUCUGUCUUGAAUAUGGUGGAGGUAAGCGGAAUAUGUCAUGUAGCGGUGAAAUGCUUAGAGAUGACAUAGAAACACCCAUUGCGAAGGCAGCUUACUACGCCUAUAUUGACGCUGAGGCACGAAAAGCGUGGGGGAUCAAAACAGG
rnacentral:rRNA from 1 species